rnacentral:rRNA from 1 species
GAUGAACGCUGGCGGCGUGCCUAAUACAUGCAAGUCGAGCGAACGGACGAGAAGCUUGCUUCUCUGAUGUUAGCGGCGGACGGGUGAGUAACACGUGGCUAACCUACCUAUAAGACUGGGAUAACUUCGGGAAACCGUAGCUAAUACCGGAUAAUCUUUUGAACCGCAUGGUUCAAAAGUGAAAGACGGUCUUGCUGUUACUUAUAGAUGGAUCCGCGCUGCAUUAGCUAGUUGGUAAGGUAACGGCUUACCAAGGCAACGAUGCAUAGCCGACCUGAGAGGGUGAGCGGCCACACUGGAACUGAGACACGGUCCAGACUCCUACGGGAGGCAGCAGUAGGGAAUCUUCCGCAAUGGGCGAAAGCCUGACGGAGCAACGCCGCGUGAGUGAUGAAGGUCUUCGGAUCGUAAAACUCUGUUAUUAGGGAAGAACAUAUGUGUAAGUAACUGGGCACAUCGUGACGGUACCUAAACAGAAAGCCACGGCUAACUACGUG